CAGCAGCCGCGGUAAUACGUAGGUCCCGAGCGUUGUCCGGAUUUAUUGGGCGUAAAGCGAGCGCAGGCGGUUAGAUAAGUCUGAAGUUAAAGGCUGUGGCUUAACCAUAGUACGCUUUGGAAACUGUUUAACUUGAGUGCAAGAGGGGAGAGUGAAAUUCCAUGUGUAGCGGUGAAAUGCGUAGAUAUAUGAAGGAACACCGGUGGCGAAAGCGGCUCUCUGGCUUGUAACUGACGCUGAGGCUCGAAAGCGUGGGGAGCAAACAGGAUUAGAUACCCGCGUAGUCCCUGUCUCUUAUACA
rnacentral:rRNA from 1 species